AGGCGUCCCUUUGUGAAGGUUUGUUUUAAUAUUUUUGUAUAUCUUUCGCGAGGUAUUAUUAUAAUUAAAAUUACAUUCUAAGUGUAAUAAUUAUCGAUGCUUAUUAAUUCGUGUUUUUUUUAUGUAUAUUCCAUACAGGUAGCUCGCAACAAACGAUCGACAGCACGGUUCGUGUACGUGCAGCUGCGGGAAGGGCUGUAUUGCUGGAAGGUUGCUGGUAGCUGGUAGGUUUUCUAUUUUAUAUAUUAAUUCAUUCAUAUUUUAAAGUGUUUUGUUUUGUUUUGUUUAGGUUGCUGGUAGCUGCAGCUGCGGGAAGGGCUGUAUUGCUGGAAGGUUGCUGGUAGCUGCAGCUGCGGGAAGGGCUGUAUUGCUGGAAGGUUGCUGGUAGCUGGUUGCUGGUAGCUGCAGCUGCUGGUUUUUCAUCGUUCCGGUACGCCACGAAGACCUCAAAGUUUUUUGUGAUAUAAAAAUAAAUAAAAAGAAAGAAUGAAAA